GGAUGCGAUCAUACUAGCACUAAAGCACCGGAUCCCAUCAGAACUCCGAAGUUAAGCGUGCUUGGGCGAGAGUAGUACUAGGAUGGUUGACCUCCUGGGAAGUCCUCAUGUUGCAUUCC
rnacentral:rRNA from 1 species